GCGGCUGUAGCUCAGUUGGUAGAGCCCUGGAUUGUGAUUCCGGUUGUCGUGGGUUCGAGCCCCAUCAGUCGCCCCA
rnacentral:tRNA from 31 species